CUUCCAUUGGAAAUAAAGCUCAAGUUUAUGCUAUUUUCUAGCAAGUCCAUGAUUUAAUGCUGUCAAAAAGCAAUGGAUUCCAGCGAAAACGAAAUCGUGCGGCCGCUUAAAAGGUUCAGAAAAGCCAAAAGUAAAGAUGAGGAAGAAGUAGCUUUGGCGCAAGCUGUACCCGCGUCGACAAGAUACAAGAAGAAGUGGUGUGUCAACAUGUUUGAAAACUGGCGUGCUGACCGAGUGAACAAAAUAACCGCAAAGGAGUCAACAAUCUUCAAUGUAAGACUAUUCCAUCUUGAAAACCUCGACAGCGGAUGGGAAUCCAUGUCGGCUCCUUCCCUUAACUUCUGGAUCGGGAAAUUCAUCCAAGAAGCUGCAGAUAAACAAGGACAUUCAGCAGGACCAUGGCAUCAUGAGGCGCGCGGGCAUACACAUGAUGAGCUACAUGACAAUGCAACGAUGACAAAAACACACAAAAUAUUCACAUAUUACCACUGACAUAUUGUUGAAAAAAGAAGAGAAGAGAGAAAAGAAAAAAAAGCCCUUGAAGCUUGUGAAGACAAGUAUAAUGAAGUAAUGCAAUGCUUCCAGAAGAGCUGGUUUCCUGAUUGUCAUAAACAGCAGACUGGAUUCUGGGAUUGCUAUAAAAAGCACACUAUAGACUUGAGGAAGAAGCAUGGAGUAUAUUACUGAGAUCUUUGACACAAGCGUGCAGGAGAGAAAGAGGCAUAGAUUGGUUGACUGGAAAAAAGUAUACAUUGAUAAGAGUAAAGAGAGAGCAUUGUCAAUUCAAUAUAUGAAACAUUCAGUUACCACAUACAUGCUAAUCAAAUUAAUAUGAAAAUGCUGUCAAAUUGCCCAAAACUGGCAGUGGAAUGAGACAGGUCAAUAAACUCUGUAAAGCACUAAA